rnacentral:other from 1 species
UGACCCCUGCGGUGUUCGUAUCAAAGGCGUGUAUUUGAAGGAACCGAUACCCGUACUAAGGGAGGUCAGGCCUUGUCGGACCGGAAACGCCCGCUCGCUGGGACUUUCGGACGCAAGCAACGAUCACCCACCUGAAAGUAAUGGGUUCCCUUCAAUCGCCUCUUUUACGGCACAGGUGGAGGUGAG